GUGGGGGGAGAAUUCCUACGGGUGGGUUUCCGAAUAUUGUGUUCAACUUUUUGAAAGCAGCUCGUGACCCCGAAACUGCAUCCCCCGGAGCCGGGGACCCAGGCGCCGGGCGGGCGGGUGAACCCGGUCAGUCCCCUCCCCGUCCCCGAAACCCCCGCCUCCGGGUGGUGGCGACCUGGCCUCUCCCUGCCACUGCCCGGCCAGCCCCGGAGGGAGGCUGGGCAGGUGCUGCGGGCUCUGCCGAAAGCGCUGAAAUAAAAAACCAUCGCCACUCAGGGAGAACUGAGGCAAGUGGGGCUGAGACUCUGGCGACACCCCCGCCCCCCAGCCUCUGCCCCAGCGCCUGCCGCCCUGCCGCCCUGCCGCACCCCGCCUGCUUGGGUGGCGACCGCGGUUCCGGAACGCGAAGCAGGGCAGAGGGCUGCAGAGAGGCGUGUAGCUUUGUGCGCCAGGACCCGGUGGGGCAGGUGGCAGCCCCGGGCUGUCCGCGCCUCCCAGCAGAGCCGAGCUCGGCGCCGCCCACCGAGCCCACCUCGCGGUCCAGCCGCCGCCAGCGCCUUUCGGCUCUGGCCUGAAGCAGUACUCCCGCCUCCUGGAGCGGCCGCCCGAUCCUAGCGCGGAGCUGCGAGCCUGACCGGCCGCGUCUGGCAUGGUCAGAGAAAGAAUUUUCUUUUCCCAACUCCGGCUUUUGGUUUUGUGUGUCCACCUUGCGCAACUCCGGAGCCAGCCGACCCCACAUGGAUUCUCAACAGGUGGCCGGGAAAGUCUGGAGACUCACCAAGCUGAGGAGGAAGAAGGGAACAUCUCAACCCAAGCUGAAUUCUGAAGAACACUUGGCCCCAUCUUCCAGAAAUCCUAAAUCACAUAGAGGGAAAGUUUUGGCCAGGGCACCAAGAAUGAACCAGAAGCUGAGUCCAUUACUCCAAUUUUCACAUUAACCAGGAGACACAUUGAAAAUUCUUUUCUUGAGUGAGAGACUGAAAUUUUGGCUCAAGGGUGUUUCUGUUGGGUCUUCUCUUUAUAUGGCAUGUGAGGACUGCAUCCCACGUCACAUCUGCAGCCACUCCCAGAUUACACUGCAAGGGAGGGUAGAUUAGGAGUGGGUAGGGAGUAGAGGGGUCUGUAGACACAGCAAAAGCAGCAAGCUGGUGUGGGAAAACCCAGAAAAUAUGUCUCAGAGACAGCCAGUGGCUGCACAUACAAAAGGAAGGCACCUACCUGGAAGAGAAGGGGUUGUGAAGUUCUGCCCAGAGUCACAGCGCUGACGUCCUCAGAAGGUCUCCAGCCCUCUGCAGCAAUCUAUAGUAUGCAUCAGUAUGGUUGGAAAAGCUUCUUCUAUCAAGUUUAACAACUUUCUGGUGUAACUUCUGAGAGGGCUGAUUGCUUAUUCAUGCGGAAGCAAGACGCCCAGUUCAUUUUGCCCGUUUUUGCUACUCUUUGUUGGGUUUGGGAGGCUGUUAUGGUAGCUGCAAAUGGCUUCUCAAGUGACAUUUGCUGACAUUCAGUGAAGUACAUUUAUCAGUAUUCGCCAGCUCACCUCUACACAUGCAAUCCAUUUUGUUUUGUUCUUCAUAGCAAACUCCUUUCCGACACCCGUGCCCUGAAAAUGAUAAAUGGCAAGGUGGCAUAUUUCUGAAGCUGCACUCAAGUGUCACUGUGAAAAAUCUUUAAUGGACUAAGUGUAGCUUUUCAUGUUACAGCUUGUCAGGUACUGAGAAAUUCUAGAGUUUGUCUUUAAUCCUCAAGUCUUUGGAACCACACUUCUGCAAGCAGAGACUAAUUAUAAGCUGCACCACUCAGACCUGGGCAAGCAGAAACCAAGGAGAAAACAUUUGAUAUCAGCAAAUUCUUUAUUAUUAUUAUUAUUAUUAUUAUUAUUCUCAUUCCAUUUUUGCUCCUUCCUUUCCUACUCAAGAUAUUUGAGGCAUGAGCAAUCUGUGACUCUAAUUAAGGGGGUGACAGCCCCAACCAGGCCACCAUGCAGGCUUAUAAUCCACUCAUACACCCAGCUUUCUCCAUAAUGGCUUUAUUCUUUUCCUCCAAGGUUCAAAAUCACCAUGACUUCUCCCCCACAAAAAAAAAAAAAAAAAGAAAAAGAAAACUGACUCUGAAUCAUAAAUCCUGGCUCCCAAAUAUUGGCCAUAAUUGGGUUUGAUCUCCUGUCUCUUGGGUUGAGAAACCAUCCCCUCUGACUCCUGGCCCCCUGUGACCCCUCCAAAGCCCCCUGUACAGGUCUUUGGCCACACAGAGAUUCAACAGUCUAAUAAUCUAAAAUUGUAAAUGCCACAAUUUGUGUGCGUGUUUACUGUGUCUCAGUUUUGAGUUCUUUUUGAAAUCUUUUAGUUAUUCCAGAAGGGAUAGGAUAAAGAGAAGAAAUCAGUUAUACUCCCAGUGGCCAGGCAUGGUAGGGCAGAAAGAGUGUUGACACUCACUACCCCUGCAGGGGGAGAGGGCAGAGGACCCAGGUUAACUACCCAGAGAUGAGAUGGAUCCUGGUCUAACUCAGGCCCUGGGAUACCUGCACCAAUUGCUCUCAGCAGGUCGAGACAUCACAGAAGAAGAGAAGACAUGUCAACUCUCUACAAUAGUGUCUUAGCCCUGGAGAUACUAUUGGAGAGUGACAACAGACAGCAAACAGGGUUCUAUUCAUAGUGGCCAUGGUUUCCCCAAGCAGAGAACAUAUCCAACCAAAGGGACUUCAGCAAAGCUUUUCCUAAUCUGUGCUCUGAAAUGGCUAAGUAGAAGAGAGCUAUCUAGAGUGUAUGAGGAUGUCUUUAAAGUCAACCUUGCAAUAACUAUUGCAUGCAGACUGUAAUUGUGGGCUAAAAGUGAAGGCUGUUUUGUUAGGUGAGACCCUUCCAGAGCACCUCCUGCAUAUGUACACACAUUCUCUCUCUCUCUGUCUCACACACACACACACACACACCUCCCCCCACAACACACACACACACACACACACACACAACCUCCCCCCACAACACACACACACACACACACACACACACACCUCCCCCCACAACCCACACACACAAAACCAACCCCAUCCCAGGGAACCCAACAGUCAUAGAUCUCAUCUGGAGUCCAACUCCUAAUCCAGGUGUCAUGAUCAUCACGUGAGAGAUAGCAGAAUCUCCACCAAUUUUGGAAAGAACUACUCAAGUGUUUUCUAAAAGAAAUAAUGGAAAAAAGUAAACAGCCAAUUGAAUUGCCAAUAAUAAAAAUAGGAUGUGGCUAUCUCCUAUAUUUUGCCGUUUAUAUCCAAAAUAACUUAUGGACAUGCACAAAACAUCCAUGAAAAUAAAAACAUAACCAUUACCUUCAAAAAUCACCCUGGACCCUUUACAUUCUCACCUCUCUCCCUGCCAGCUAUCUGGCUCACUGAAGUCUUGACCUCCGGGGCUCAAGUGAUCUUCCCACCUCAGUCUCCUGACUAGCUGGGACCACAGGCACACGCCACCACGACUGGCUAGUUUUUUUUAUUGUCUGUGGAGGCAUGGUCUCACUAUGUUGCCCAGGUUGGUCUCAAAGUCCUGGGCUCAAGCAAUCUGCCACCUUGGCCUCCCAAAGUGCUGGGAUUACAGGCGUGAGCCACCGCACCUAGCCUCUAUCAUAAUUUUAUUGACAGAGCACAUGGUUGUUUAACCCAGUAAGAGUCUAUAUACUAUUCUUGAUUAGGCAAACUUUGGCUCAUGGAACAAAUUCAUUCUCAUGCUACCUGUUUUGUGAAUAAAAUCUUAUUGGAUCAGAGCCAUGGCCAUUCAUUUAUACACAUUAUACGUAGCUGCUUUCCUGCUACAACCACAAGGCCAAUCGACAGAGACCAUGUGGCCCAUCAAGCCUGAAAUGUUUACUAUCUGGCCUUUUACAGAGUUUGCUAAUCCCUGUUUUAGAUUAUAGAGGAUGUUUGAAUGGUCAAGUAGAGAUGACAAACUGAUGAUUCUAGCACUAGAGGGGCGAGUCGAGGACUGCAGAAACAAAAGCCA
rnacentral:lncRNA from 1 species